rnacentral:rRNA from 1 species
CACGUAUUUAGCCGGUGCUUCUUAGUCAGGUACCGUCAUUUUCUUCCCUGCUGAUAGAGCUUUACAUACCGAAAUACUUCUUCGCUCACGCGGCGUCGCUGCAUCAGGGUUCCCCCCAUUGUGCAAUAUUCCCCACUGCUGCCUCCCGUAGGAGUUUGGGCCGUGCCUCAGUCCCAAUGUGGCCGUCCACCCUCUCAGGCCGGCUACUGAUCGUCGCUUUGGUAGGCCGUUACCCUGCCAACUGGCUAAUCAGACGCGGGUCCAUCCCAUACCACCGGAGUUUUUCACACAGCAACAUGCGUUGCCGUGCGCUUAUGCGGUAUUAGCAGUCAUUUCUAACUGUUAUCCCCCUGUAUGGGGCAGGUUGCCCACGCGUUACUCACCCGUCCGCCACUCAGUCACUAUACUCUUUUCCGAAGAAUCCAACUAUAGCGCUUCGUUCGACUUGCAUGUGUUAGGCACGCCGCCAGCGUUCAUCCUGAGCCAGGAUCAAACU